GGAAUUGGCUCCUGACUCACACAGCUGC
rnacentral:piRNA from 1 species